ACUCGUCAUUUGCCACUUCUCAGCAGUCAGCCCCUCUCAAUCUCACCGAUAUCGGUAUAUCACUAACCGCAGCAACAGUACUCCAUCAUCUCCCUCUCACGCCCUCCGGCAUCCCUCACCAAGCUGACUACGGUGCAUGACUAUGGUGCAUGAACCAUUGACGUUGGAGAAAAGGUCUGCUGACUAUGGUGCAUGAACCAUUGACGUUGGAGAAAAGAUAUGUAAUUCCAAGAAGCCUCAAGCAAAGGUGUUUUUGCGAAAACAAUAUAUGAUAUGUUUGCAGAGCACUCUGUGUUGGACUCCUCUCAGUUAAUUCUGUGAAGUUAAAGAGUUUGUAAAGAAGCAAAGAACUGAAUAAUCAUGCCAAGCAUUCUUAACGUAGGGUUCCAAGUAUCCUUUACGCAAUAAAGAGAUUCAUAGUUAAUUGCAUGAUGGAAUGGUUGAAGCUGUCAUUAUCUGCUGAAGCAUCCUGCAUCAUUUUUCUUCUUUUCUUAAAGAAAAAAAAAAUCAAAAUUAAUUUUAAUGAUGUUCCUUGGAUCGUUGGAUUACUCACACACACACAAUAAGAAGCAAUAAUGAUGGAGGAUGUUUGAUCUCUGCAUAAUUUUGUUUUGGGGUGUUUUGAUCCUUUUAGUAGGCUCCAA